rnacentral:rRNA from 1 species
UACAGAGGGUGCAAGCGUUAAUCGGAAUUACUGGGCGUAAAGCGUACGUAGGCGGUUAUCUAAGUCGGGUGUGAAAGCCCCGGGCUCAACCUGGGAAUUGCAUUCGAUACUGGAUAGCUAGAGUUCGGCAGAGGGAAGCGGAAUUUCCGGUGUAGCGGUGAAAUGCGUAGAUAUCGGAAGGAACAUCAGUGGCGAAAGCGGCUUCCUGGACCAGAACUGACGCUCAGGUACGAAAGCGUGGGGAGCAAACAGG